CCUACGGGAGGCAGCAGUGGGGAAUAUUGCACAAUGGGCGAAAGCCUGAUGCAGCAACGCCGCGUGCGCGAUGAAGGCCUUCGGGUUGUAAAGCGCUUUUCGGGGAGAUGAGGAAGGACAGUAUCCCCGGAAUAAGGCUCGGCUAACUACGUGCCAGCAGCCGCGGUAACACGUAGGAGCCAAGCGUUAUCCGAAUUCACUGGGCGUAAAGCGCGUGCAGGCGGCUCGGUAAGUUGGAUGUGAAAUCUCCUGGCUCAACUGGGAGAGGACGUUCAAUACUGUUGGGCUAGAGGGCGACAGAGGGAGGUGGAAUUCCCGGUGUAGUGGUGAAAUGCGUAGAUAUCGGGAGGAACACCAGUGGCGAAGGCGGCCUCCUGGGUCGCACCUGACGCUCAGACGCGAAAGCUAGGGGAGCGAACGGGAUUAGAAACCCCGGUAGUCCUAGCUGUAAACGAUGUAGACUUGGCGUCGGUGGGUUAAAAGCCAUCGGUGCCGUAGCCAACGCGAUAAGUCUACCGCCUGGGGACUACGGCCGCAAGGUUAAAACUCAAAGGAAUUGACGG
rnacentral:rRNA from 1 species